UAGGCAGAUUAUUGUAUUCGACUGUAUUCACGGCGUGAAACAGGGGAUUAUACUGUUUUUAAGUGGAAAGUGAAUCAAUUAACAUAAUAGACUCCU
rfam:Nicotiana sylvestris Nsyl_contig245615, whole genome shotgun sequence.